rnacentral:rRNA from 1 species
UUGGAGGGCAAGUCUGGUGCCAGCAGCCGCGGUAAUUCCAGCUCCAAUAGCGUAUAUUAAAGUUGUUGCAGUUAAAAAGCUCGUAGUUGAAUUUCGGGAUUCUACCGUUGGUCGGGCUAACAAGUCUGUACUGGUGUGUAGAAUUUCUACCUUCUGGGGAACUAUCAUGUUAUUAAUUUAGCGUGGUGGGAAACCAGGACCUUUACCUUGAAAAAAUUAGAGUGUUCAAAGCAGGCUUACGUCUGAAUACAUUAGCAUGGAAUAAUAGAACAGGACGGUGGUCCUGUUUUGUUGGUUUCUGAAUCACCGUAAUGAUUAAUAGGGAUAGUUGGGGGCAUUAGUAUUCAAUUGUCAGAGGUGAAAUUCUUGGAUUUAUUGAAGACUAACUUCUGCGAAAGCAUUUGCCAAGGAUGUUUUCAUUAAUCAAGAACGAAAGUUAGGGGAUCGAAGACGAUCAGAUACCGUCGUAGUCUUAACCAUAAACUAUGCCGACUAGGGAUCGGACGAUGUUAAAUUUUAUUGACUCGUUCGGCGCCUUACGGGAAAC